rnacentral:tRNA from 1 species
GCGGGGGUAGCUCAGUGGUAGAGCUCCUGCCUUCCAAGCAGGACGUCGCGGGUUCGAGUCCCGUCCCCCGCUCCA